AGGUCGCUGCUCUCUUACCUGAGAAGAAUGUCCGUGGCUGUGACUUUACAAAAACCCUUUGUUGCGUUAUCUGCAAUACAGUUAAAGGCAACGCCGCUGUAGUGAGGAGUGCAGGAAGGACGAGAAGCCUAUCAGUGCUGGUGCUUCCGGAGACUGGGAAAGCUGGAUGGCACACAGUAUGCCCAAACUCGUGAAGACUGUUGCUUUUAUUCUUCCAAAAGGUUUAGAUAGGAGGACCGGGCAACGCUAGAUCCCGAGCUGCAUUAUGCCUAGGAUCACACGGGGUGAAGAAAAAACAGAUUGUCAAUACUGAUGCCCCCUCGUUACGGCGAAAAACAUUCAGUUCCUGGAAACAAUUUGAUUCUGAACAUCAAGUCCUUUGAGGUUACGGUACUUAUCAUCUCGAGGGCCACUUCUUGAAGUGUUGUUAUAUAAGGGUCUAGAACUUUUUUCAUACCAUAGUUUUUUCUUUACAUUUUCUUUAAUUCUGUCUCUAGUAAA